AAAAGAGCAUCAAUGUGGGUGAGAAUCCUGUGUUUCACUUGCAGUCCACCGUGCACGGCACAUGUUCUCAGAGUCGCGUUCCUCGGAAUUGGAGCGUAAAGUGGGUGGUAAAUUUCAUCUAAAGCUAAAUAUAGGCUUGAGACCGAUAGCAAACAAGUACCAUGAGGGAAAGAUGAAAAGGACUUUGAAAAGAGAGUUAAAAGUGCUUGAAAUCGCUGAAAGGGAAGCGAAUGGAACCAGUCUUCUGGCUGAGAUUGUUGCGUGCUACUGUGAUGCCUGGCUGCUUCAACGCAAGUGUUGNAGUUAGAGUUGAUCAGCUGUGCGUGAUGUUUCUCAGCUUGUUAGUCAACCUUUGUUCGUGCUUGGGGAUAACUGCAGGUACCAUGCUCUUCCCUGCGGGGUUGAUCUCGUGCUUGUUAGGACUCAGGUGUGUACACUUGGUGACAAAAUGGUUCUCUUCGACCCGUCUUGAAACACGGACCAAGGAGUCUAGCACAUGUGCNAGUUCACAGGUGGCCAAGCCUGCUUGCGCAAUGAAGGUGACUGCUGGGAUAUUUGC
rnacentral:rRNA from 1 species